AGAGUUUGAUCAUGGCUCAGAUUGAACGCUGGCGGCAGGCCUAACACAUGCAAGUCGAACGGUAACAGGAAGCAGCUUGCUGUUUCGCUGACGAGUGGCGGACGGGUGAGUAAUGUCUGGGAAACUGCCUGAUGGAGGGGGAUAACUACUGGAAACGGUAGCUAAUACCGCAUAACGUCGCAAGACCAAAGAGGGGGACCUUCGGGCCUCUUGCCAUCGGAUGUGCCCAGAUGGGAUUAGCUAGUAGGUGGGGUAACGGCUCACCUAGGCGACGAUCCCUAGCUGGUCUGAGAGGAUGACCAGCCACACUGGAACUGAGACACGGUCCAGACUCCUACGGGAGGCAGCAGUGGGGAAUAUUGCACAAUGGGCGCAAGCCUGAUGCAGCCAUGCCGCGUGUAUGAAGAAGGCCUUCGGGUUGUAAAGUACUUUCAGCGGGGAGGAAGGGAGUAAAGUUAAUACCUUUGCUCAUUGACGUUACCCGCAGAAGAAGCACCGGCUAACUCCGUGCCAGCAGCCGCGGUAAUACGGAGGGUGCAAGCGUUAAUCGGAAUUACUGGGCGUAAAGCGCACGCAGGCGGUUUGUUAAGUCAGAUGUGAAAUCCCCGGGCUCAACCUGGGAACUGCAUCUGAUACUGGCAAGCUUGAGUCUCGUAGAGGGGGGUAGAAUUCCAGGUGUAGCGGUGAAAUGCGUAGAGAUCUGGAGGAAUACCGGUGGCGAAGGCGGCCCCCUGGACGAAGACUGACGCUCAGGUGCGAAAGCGUGGGGAGCAAACAGGAUUAGAUACCCUAGUAGUCCACGCCGUAAACGAUGUCGACUUGGAGGUUGUGCCCUUGAGGUGUGGCUUCCGGAGCUAACGCGUUAAGUCGACCGCCUGGGGAGUACGGCCGCAAGGUUAAAACUCAAAUGAAUUGACGGGGGCCCGCACAAGCGGUGGAGCAUGUGGUUUAAUUCGAUGCAACGCGAAGAACCUUACCUGGUCUUGACAUCCACGGAAGUUUUCAGAGAUGAGAAUGUGCCUUCGGGAACCGUGAGACAGGUGCUGCAUGGCCGUCGUCAGCUCGUGUUGUGAAAUGUUGGGUUAAGUCCCGCAACGAGCGCAACCCUUAUCCUUUGUUGCCAGCGGUCCGGCCGGGAACUCAAAGGAGACUGCCAGUGAGUAAACUGGAGGAAGGUGGGGAUGACGUCAAGUCAUCAUGGCCCUUACGACCAGGGCUACACACGUGCUACAAUGGCGCAUACAAAGAGAAGCGACCUCGCGAGAGCAAGCGGACCUCAUAAAGUGCGUCGUAGUCCGGAUUGGAGUCUGCAACUCGACUCCAUGAAGUCGGAAUCGCUAGUAAUCGUGGAUCAGAAUGCCACGGUGAAUACGUUCCCGGGCCUUGUACACACCGCCCGUCACACCAUGGGAGUGGGUUGCAAAAGAAGUAGGUAGCUUAACCUUCGGGAGGGCGCUUACCACUUUGUGAUUCAUGACUGGGGUGAAGUCGUAACAAGGUAACCGUAGGGGAACCUGCGGUUGGAUCACCU
rnacentral:rRNA from 1 species